rnacentral:tRNA from 1 species
AAGUGNAGGGUUGUAACCCCUUUCAUAAAGGUUAAAGUCCUUUUUUUAUCA